UUGGAUCUACCACGUCAAUUAAUGAGGCGUGAUCCAACGCUUCUGGUUUUUUCUGAUUUUAAUUAUUUUUCUUUUAUUUAUUUAAAUUGCUUUUUCUUUAAAAAUUCUUAGUAAUUUCAUUUUUUAUCCAAAAAAUCUCAAAAUAAUUUCUAAAAUUCUCUUUUAUUUUUCUUCAUCUGAUUUUUAUUUUUCAACAUUUUAUUUCACUGGUUUUAUAUUUUUCAUGAAUUUUCUCUUUUCUCUUUUGUUUUAAUUGGGUAAAAAAUACUUUUAUGCAUUUUAAAAUUCUAAAAUUUUUAUUACAUGUUUCUCAUUUUAUUUCUAACCUCCCCUAAUUUUCUUGCCCAUUUAUUUGGUGUUUUCAAGGACUUUGUGAAUUUUCCAUUCUGUUCCCACUUUAAAAAUCAUUUAAAAAUACCUUUAAUACAUUUUUGUUUCAUUUAAUUUCAUUUUUUAAAAUUGUUUGACCUUGUGGACUUUUUUUGGUCUUGGAUCAUGAUGAGUUU
rnacentral:lncRNA from 1 species